rnacentral:lncRNA from 1 species
CGAGGGGUCAGGUUUUGGAUUAUAGGUGCUAGGCUUUGGCUAUGGCGAAUUGGAACUCUGGUGGGGUCGGGUUUUGGAUUGGAGGUGCUGGGCUUUGUUCGAGUUUUGCGGUUUUGCAUCGUGAUUUGGAUUUUUGGGACAUGGUGGUGGUGGGGUUGGCGGAUUGGAAGAAGAAUUGAUGUUGCAGAGGAGGAAUGGAAGGUGGUUUUGAAUUUUGAAAUUUUGAGUUUUUUUUUUUAAUUUUUAAUUUCCACGUGAACCCUUAAUGACAUGUGGCGCCCAGUCAUUAUCCAUAUGGGUGCCACGUCACAGUUAACGGGAGAUUUAACAGUUUGACUAACGGAUGUAUGAGACUGUCUCAAAAUUUACACUUUAGGUAUGACUUUGGGACAAAAAAAACUUGAUGUACUAAAUGUUGAAAACUACGAAACAUGAGGGUAGUAAACAGUCUUUUGCCCUUACUUUUAACAAACGAUAUUAUUUACCUUAAGAGCAUUUUCACUUUAAAAAAGUCUUCCGGGCAAUAGACAAGUCAAUUCCCCCAAAUGAAUAGUAACUGUUCAAGUGCAUCUCCACCCUUAAACUGAAUAGUCUAAGCAGUUUGUAUUAAAAUAUUAUUAUUUUUUUUAUAAAAAAUAAAAUAUAUUUUUAUUUUUAAUUUCGGAUGAUAGUAAAAGUUUGGUUAAAAGUAUUUGAAAAUAUAGAAAUGUGGUGUAAGGUAAAAGAACAUAGUUAGAUAUUUACAAAACAAAAAAUGUAUUUAUUAUUUUUAUAUCAUUUUUAUAAUUUUUUAUAUUCUUAAUUAAUUUUUAUUAAUUUUUUACUUGUAGCUUACGUCAGCCUUGCGUCACAUGACCUAAGGGCUAGGCUAGUUGAAUUUAGCCUAGGUGGGCAACUAGGCUCCCCCGAUCCCAACGGAUUGGAAUGGGGUGGAGGAGUUUUAGGGGAAGGGAGGGGAUUUACUCUACUAUCCCCUAGGAGAUUUGAAAGGGAUGGAAGUGCUCUAAGGGAGAGGGGGUGGCUAAGCCGCAUAAUGAGCUAGCAAUAAUGUGGUUCGAAUUUGCUUUUGACAAAAAUCGAACUUAAGACUUAUCACUUACCAAUGAAGAUGAAUAUCACUAAUAUGUAGUCAUAAGUGGCGGGAUGGGCCGAUAACAUGAAGACAGAGACAAAUUCCCUCUCUUUUUCUCUUCCCACGUGAUUUUGCAUGCAACAUGUUGUAGGAAAGUCGUUUCCAUGCAAAAGUUGAUCCGACUGCCCAUUGCGUCCAAUGCAACAUUAAAAUGACAAUUUUAUUACUUGUUUUCGGUGGGAAGUAUUGUUGGCUCUUUCGACCCAUUUUUAGUUCGACAAUCUUCAGACAAUUGGAAGAACUCGAACGGAAUGACAAACUUCGAGGAUAAUCUUAAAGUGAAUUCUUAGGAUCAGUCAUCUUAGUGGCGGAGCCAGGAAAUCAGGUUAGAAGGGGCCUCUCACAAAUAUUAAAAAAUAAAAAUUAAAAAUUAAAAAACAUUGCAACACGCUCAAUCCCUCUCUCAUGCUCACGAAUCCAUCUCUCAUCCAUCGUUUGGUUAUCGUCUCAUUCAUUGUUUGGUGAUCGUCUCAAUCACUAUUUUGCCGCUCUAGAUUUUUGGUCCAAUUAUGAUGUUUGUUUGUUCGGUGACAAUGGUGUUGAUUUUUUAAUUUCGCUCCAUUUCAUUAGUACGUUCCGAUCAGUUGGGCGCCGUGUUAAUUGGCGAAAAAACGACCUAAUAGAAAGGCUAGUAAGAGAAAUAGCACAUGGAUGAAAGCAUAAUUCAAGCUUGUCAACAACCAACAGUACCAUGUGAAAAAAGAUUAAACUCUAGGAGAACCCAACUAUCUCACCUACUUCCUCUCUCUCCCUCUUGUUGUGGCUCUAAUCCCUUAAAAAAUCUUUGAAAAACAAAAUAAUAACUUUAAGAUUUCUCUGUGAAAAAAAUAUCAAGGUAAGCCUGGAACCAUUCUAGUCCCUUUAUAGCUCCGUCCCAUCUAUCGUAGCUAACAUAAUAUAUAUGUUCCUAAACUUAUCAAUGACUUACUAUUCUUAUUAGUUUCUCGAAUUUCUAGCUAAAAUUAUUUUUAUCUCUGAGAGCAAGUCCACCCCUAAGGACUUUGUGCCAGCACCCAGCGCAUUUAUCCACUCAAUUAAACAGUAAUAGACCCCAGUAAACAGUAAUAGGCCAAAGCAUCUCCACCCCUAAAAAUACGCUGGCACCCAGUCUAUCUAAUAUUAUAUUAUUUUAUUCAUAUCAAUUAAUAUUUUAUCAUUUAUUUUAUUUUUUAUUUUUUCUUCUUUCUUCCUUUCCCUCUCCGAUCCUUUCUUUCUCUCUCUCUCUCUCUUUUCCAGCUCACUCCCGUGAGCUCACCUUCUC